rnacentral:lncRNA from 1 species
GUCAAAAUUGGCUGGAAUUGAAUUCAAAUUAUAUAAAACUUAAUGGAAAUUGAAUAAGAAGAUAAGAAAAACCAAAUGAGCACAAAAGAAUAUAACUUUAAAAGAAAAAGAGCCCAUUUUCAGCAUUCACCACAUUCAAGAAUGUUCAACCAUCUUCCAUUCAAUUCCUCUUGAUUCUUCUGAGAGCAUUCAAGGAGAAAAGAGUGAGCAUCAAGUGCAAGCAU